rnacentral:rRNA from 1 species
AACUUUCAGCAACGGAUCUCUUGGCUCUUGCAUCGAUGAAGAACGCAGCGAAAUGCGAUACGUAAUGUGAAUUGCAGAAUUCAGUGAAUCAUCGAAUCUUUGAACGCACCUUGCACUCCUUGGUAUUCCAAAGAGUAUGUCUGUUUGAGUG